UACAGAGGUCUCAAGCGUUGUUCGGAUUCAUUGGGCGUAAAGGGUGUGUAGGUGGCGCCGUAAGUCGGGUGUGAAAUUUCGGAGCUUAACUCCGAAACUGCAUUCGAUACUGCGGUGCUUGAGGACUGGAGAGGAGACUGGAAUUCAUGGUGUAGCAGUGAAAUGCGUAGAGAUCAUGAGGAAGACCAGUGGCGAAGGCGGGUCUCUGGACAGUUCCUGACACUGAGACGAAGGCCAGGGGAGCAAACGGG
rnacentral:rRNA from 1 species